AUGAAUUCACGUGCAACACUGACAGCGUCCCUUGUCAUUACAGGAUAUUGUUCGCUAAUAAACCGGUGGCAUCAAUCAUCGUUAGUAAAACGAAACGGUGGAUACGCGGUGUUCUCGAUCGGGAAUAAAAUACAGAAAGGCAGAAUUUUACUGUCAGAACUCAAGCUUUCCAGAGGUCUUCCGUAUCCAAAUACAACGACGACGAUUCGACAACAUGCCGUGGGAGUUCGGAGGUCUGUUUACACGAGUUCGCAAAUAUAGCCAUAGGUAUCGGAGCCAACCGAAGCGAAGAAUUGAUAAAUUAGUUAUUCCGUCAGUCGCCUGCCGCUGUUUCUCUAGGUUUGUCUCCUUCGUGAUCCUCGUUCGGUAUGAGCUGCACUCUCAAGGACUAUGUUGAAACAGGCGUGAACGCAAUGCAUCUAAGGAUCUGUUCUGACCGCAGGCCUGUAUCCGCAGCGACGACGGUUUGAAUUGAAGACUUUUGCGGAUGGUAACUCGUUGGCUCACGCGCUAACGUAUUUGCAAGAUCCGCUACGCUGAUGGACAUAUAAUGCGACGUGUGAUUGUAGGCCCGCCAAUCGCGGCCGAUUGUGCCUCUGAAGGCCCGCUAACUAUCUCAAACUAGCCCCAUUCAAGCUGCCACGACCUCUCUCUAUCCAUCUCUAUCCGCCACCAUACCUCUGUGUCUCGCUCGUUCCAACCCUCCGCACCUCGUUCACCGCCACCCACCACCCCCAAAGCCCAUACCUCUCGCUCAUCCCUAACCUUUCUCUCCCUUGCACCCCGACUCUCGUCUCGUUUGCUCCGACUUCGCAGCGAUUUUCCCCUCCAGCACGGUAAGCUCUACCUCCUCGUCCUUUCUGGCUCCAUGUAUUUCUUGCCGCACGUUUCUUCCGCGCCUCGUAUCCUGCUCUAAUUUUCGACCAGCUCUUUCGCGGCACACGUAAUCUUCCAUUUUAUUCGCUUCAUCCUUUCUAACGCGUGAUUCCUCGCCCCACGAGCCCGGUUAUUUUUUCUCCGGGGUACCGGCGAGUGUUUUGCUUUCCAUUUACCAUCCCUUUAUCUCGCUGAGUCUAUUCACCUGCGUUCUGAGGUUUUUGCGAUUUCUUUCCUUUCGCCCUCCUAGGAACGAGUGUGCCCGAUUGGGAACCUGAUGAAACAAAUCUCUGUAGAGUUUGUUGAAAAAGUUAUAUGUGAUUUGACUAUGAUCAUGUUGAUAUCGCAUCCGUUGUUGAGUACAUGUCUUCCAUAAAAAUAUAGAAAACAUAUUGCGUCCCAUUUUAAAAAAUGAAGGGGACAUUGAUAUCUCGAAAUCGCUUCCACCCAGAAAAGAAUAAUUACUGUCACCUUUUUUCCCCUCUUGAAAUUGAUUACUUUGUGUCAGAACUAUUUUUCAAUGCGACUUCGAAUUUUGUAGACAAUUGCGUCGGUCACCGUAUAAGAAUCCCCCUGUAUAUUCUUUUUAUAAGGUUGUAAAAGUAGAGUAAAAUUCACGUAGUAGAUGGUUAAGACAGAACUGUGGGAGAGUAAGAUCUGUUCGUGGGAGAGUGAACCUCUCUUUUAUAGGGCGUUAGGGAUGUAAUUUUAAGAUCUUAAAUGUUUCAGAAAAUACACUUAAUAAAACAGACGAUUUUUCAUCCAACCAGGAGCCUGCUUCAACCCGGUUUCCCAUCGUUCUUCGAUUUGUAAAUUCAUACAUUUCC